rnacentral:rRNA from 1 species
UACGUAGGGGGCUAGCGUUGUCCGGAAUCAUUGGGCGUAAAGCGCGUGUAGGCGGCUCGGUAAGUCCGCUCUGAAAGCCCGGGGCUCAACCCCGGGAGGCGGGUGGAUAUUGCCGAGCUCGAGUCCGGAAGAGGCAAGUGGAAUUCCCGGUGUAGCGGUGAAAUGCGCAGAUAUCAGGAGGAACACCGGUGGCGAAGGCGGGUCUCUGGGCCGAUACUGACGCUGAGGAGCGAAAGCGUGGGGAGCGAACAGG